CGAGACUCCGUCUUGAAAAAAAAAGAAAAGAAAAAGAAAGAAAGAAACAUCAGUGAGGCCAGCCUGGCUGGAGGCAGUAGGGAGCCAGGGAGCAAGCAGUAGAAAGUGAAAGUUGAGAAGAGAAAAGAAGAACUCAGAGAGUCUUCUAUGCCACCAUAAGAACUAGCGUUUCCCCCCUGGGGGAGAUAGCAGCCACUGGGAGAUUCCAAGGAGAGGAAUGACACCGGCUAAUACUUGAACAAGAUCACUACAUCUUGUCUUCUCUGUUGCUCCUGGACUGCAGGGGACAAGUGUGAAAGCAGGGAGACCAGCUGGGGAGCUACCACAACAGACGGAAGAACCAGAUCCAAUGAUAUGUGUAAGAAGAAUAAUUUCAGUGCAAUUGAAAGAACAGAUGCACAAUUGACUCUGUCAAGUGAUGGAAUGACCCGUCUCAAAUAAAGCCAAUGAGGUUGGUGAUGGUGAAGAUGAUGAUGAUGUUGAUGAUGAUGACACUAGUGAACAAAGGCUGGGCGAAGAGUCUGGGUCAAUUGUAGGGAUGAACACUUCACAUCCACCAUUUCAUUUAAUCUUCACAACAACCCUCUGACAUGGCCAUUCUUUAUCUUCAUGUCAUCGUGAACUAAGUAAAGAUGAAAGAGUUUAAGAAACACAUAGCUGUGUGUAUCGGAGCCCAGACUUGAAGCUGGGCCCGUAGCUAGUGUUUGUACACCAAACAUAGUCACUGUCCUGUCUCAUGAGGGAAGGAGGGUCCUGUCACUAUGGUCAUGCAAGCAGAGGACAGAGGAUGCUAAAUGGGUCACUGAGCUUCAACCAGAAUUCUUGAUCGCUGAGAAUUCCCUCAGCCAGAGACUCCAAGAGGUGAGGAACCUGCAUCUGUGUGAGGCCCAGGUCAUGUGGUAUGGCCCAUCUCCAGAGACUCUUCCUGGCCCCCUUUGCUUCCCUGCCCUCCUUUGUCACCGAAAUCACAAACGAGCUCAACAUUCCCUAGCUAGGAACAGCCCCACUGCUGGAGCAGCCAGUGACCAGCCCCAUCGGAACUCUUCCCCACUUCCCUGGAAUGUCUCCCCCAGCUAUACCUUUGAGCACCUUCCACUGGGCCUCCCAGGCUGCCAUUGCAGUUUCCUCUCCCUCCCUGAGAAUCCCCAUGGGAGAGGAAUAACAGAGCAUCAGGAAGGCGUUUCAAAUAGCAUCAUGUCACAGGAAGAGUGUUGGCCUGUGGUCAAACACAUGCAGAUCUGAACUUCAGUUCAACUCCAUUUUGAAACCUUGGUCCAAUUGACCACUGGGUCUUGGACUCAUCAUUUGAAAAGUGCAGAGUUGCUCUUCAAGCUGAAACUUCAGCCCAAAUCAACUUUUACUCUCAUAAUGAUGAAAAGGAAACUGGCAGCUGCUUGGGGCAUAACAACCAACACAUCCUUUGAUCUGAUCUUUUUCUGCAUCCUCACUUCUUUAUGACUCCUCCAUUACUUAGAGAUUGAAGACCCCACAGCAGAUAGAAAAUUAAACAAGAGAAUGUGUGAGUGGCUGGAACCUUGAAGGACCUCAGACAAUGGCAUCUCUCACUACAUCAUGCAGUAGUUGUAUUUCCAGGCCCUGAAUUCCCAUUAAUUACUGCUCUGAAAGUGGGCUUGGGGACAAGGAAAAUGUCAGCACCUCCCCUACCUCACAGGUAUCACAGACCCUCAUAAGCACCACUUGGAUGUUUUCAGGGUGGCUUCCUGUCCCAUCUUUUAGAAAUCUUGCUUUGAAACAUCGUCAACUCUAGUUUUCUCCUUGUUGGGCUGUGAGGAAGAAUGUAAAGGAUUCGGUCAUUUCAGAUUGUGAAAUGGGCUCCUUCUUAAUCGGGUUUCUGUAAUCCCAUGGUCUGAGGAGAUUUUCUGGAGUCUGAUAAAUCUCCUCUUCAACUCACGUCAAUGCAAUAAGGAGGUUAGUCGAGUACUUACUAGGUAGUGAUGUCAAGGUGAUGAUGAGGGAAAUGCCAAAUAAUGUGGUCAAUGACAAGAAUUUUUAUUUAUUCAGCUACAAC
rnacentral:lncRNA from 1 species